ensembl:lncRNA
UGCAUGCUCAGUUGUGUCCAACUCUUUGUGACCACACGGACUGUAGCCCACCAGGCUCUUCUGUCCAUGGGAUUUUCCAGGCCAGAAUACUGGAGUGGCCUGCCAUUUCCUCCCCUAGGCAAUCUUCCUGACCCAGGGAUGGAACCUGAGUCUCCUGCGUCUCCUGCGAUUGCAGGCAUAUUCUUUACCACUGCGCCACCUGGGAAGCCCUUGAAGGGUUCAAUGUUAGUCCUAAAGCUGGAGCUGGCUCACUUCCUUGAAUUUCAUGAAGGAAUAAGGUCUCAAGGCUCCCCAGCCGGGUCUUCAGCACUGUCUCAGGUGGACACAUUCUGGCUGGUUCUCCUCUCCUCCAUUCUCUCCUCUCUCAAAGGUCCUGCUGCCUGGGUCUGCCUUGUCCUAGACGCUGCACAUGGCUUCCAUCUUCACAAGAGCUGGUGUUAAAAACAUCUCGUCCAACUUGGAGGAUGGUCUGGACAAAUGAGUGCUUGCCAGCGAGUACAGGCACACUUCGUUUUAUGGCGAUUCUCUUCAUUGUCCUUCACAGAUACUGGACUCUCUUUUUAAAACAAAUUGCGGGUUUGUGGCAAGUCUGUCGGUGCCAUUUUCCCAACAGCAUCUGCUCACUUUGUACCUCUGUGUAGGAUUUCAAGCUUGUCCGUGAUGAUUAGAUGGGUGAUGGUGAUUUGUCAUCAGUGAUCUCUGAUAUGA